AUUGAACGCUGGCGGCAUGCCUUACACAUGCAAGUCGAACGGUAACGCGGGGCAACCUGGCGACGAGUGGCGAACGGGUGAGUAAUGCAUCGGAACGUGCCUGGUAGUGGGGGAUAACUGCUCGAAAGAGCAGCUAAUACCGCAUACGACCUGAGGGUGAAAGGGGGGGAUCGCAAGACCUCUCGCUAUCAGAGCGGCCGAUGUCGGAUUAGCUAGUUGGUGGGGUAAAGGCCCACCAAGGCAACGAUCCGUAGCUGGUCUGAGAGGACGACCAGCCACACUGGGACUGAGACACGGCCCAGACUCCUACGGGAGGCAGCAGUGGGGAAUUUUGGACAAUGGACGCAAGUCUGAUCCAGCCAUGCCGCGUGCGGGGAGAAGGCCUUCGGGUUGUAAACCGCUUUUGUCAGGGAAGAAAUCUUCUGGGCUAAUACCCUGGGAGGAUGACGGUACCUGAAGAAUAAGCACCGGCUAACUACGUGCCAGCAGCCGCCGUAAGAC
rnacentral:rRNA from 1 species